CCUACGGGAGGUAGCAGUGAGGAAUAUUGGUCAAUGGUCGGGAGACUGAACCAGCCAAGCCGCGUGAGGGAGGAAGGUACAGAGUAUCGUAAACCUCUUUUGUCAGGGAACAAAGGCGGGGACGUGUCCCCGGAUGAGUGUACCCGAAGAAAAAGCAUCGGCUAACUCCGUGCCAGCAGCCGCGGUAAUACGGAGGAUGCGAGCGUUAUCCGGAUUUAUUGGGGUUAAAGGGUGGGCAGGCGGGCCGGUAAGUCAGGGGUGAAACCCCCGGGCCUCACCCCGGGCCGGCGGUUGAAACUGGCAGUCUCGAGUUGGAGAGAGGUAUGCGGAAUGCGCGGUGUAGCGGUGAAAUGCAUAGAUAUCGCGCAGAACUCCGAUUGCGAAGGCAGCAUGCCGGCUCCACACUGACGCUGAGGCACGAAAGCGUGGGUAUCGAACAGGAUUAGAUACCCGGGUAGUC
rnacentral:rRNA from 1 species